CCUACGGGAUGCAGCAGUGAGGAAUAUUGGUCAAUGGGCGCGAGCCUGAACCAGCCAAGUAGCGUGAAGGAUGACUGCACUACGGGUUGUAAACUUCUUUUAUAAAGGAAUAAAGUGAGGCACGUGUGCCUUUUUGUAUGUACUUUAUGAAUAAGGAUCGGCUAACUCCGUGCCAGCAGCCGCGGUAAUACGGAGGAUCCGAGCGUUAUCCGGAUUUAUUGGGUUUAAAGGGAGCGUAGAUGGGUUGUUAAGUCAGUUGUGAAAGUUUGGGGCUCAACCGGAGAAUUGCAAUUGAUACUGGCAGUCUUGAGUACAGUUGAGGUAGGCGGAAUGCGUGGUGUAGCGGUGAAAUGCUUAGAUAUCACGAAGAACUCCGAUUGCGAAGGCAGCUUACCAAACUGCCACUGACAUUGAGGCUCGAAAGCGUGGGUAUCAAACAGGAUUAGAUACCCGAGUAGUC
rnacentral:rRNA from 1 species